AAGGAGUCUAACACAUGCAUGAGUCACAGGCUUGAACGAAAGCCCAUGGCGCAAUAAAGGUGAGGGCCAGUGUGUGCUGGCUGAGAUGGAAUCCCGAGGCCACUGAUUUGCAGAGGGCACACCACAGCCUGUCUCGCCCACCCUGUAGGGGAGGUGUAACAUAAGCAUAAGUGCUAGGACCCGAAAGAUGGUGAAUUAUGUCUGGGCAGGGCGAAGCCAGAGGAAGCUCUGGUGGAGGUCCAUUGCGGUCCUGAUGUGCAAAUCGGUCAUCCAACCCGGGUAUAGGGGCAAAGGACUAAUCGAACCAUCUAGUAGCUGGUUCCCUCCAAAAUUUCCCUCAGGAUAGCUGGCACUUGUCCAUCUCCACAGUUUUAUCUGGUAAAGUGAAUGAUUAGAGGUCUUAGGGCCGAAACGAUCUCAACCUAUUCUUAAACUUUAACUGGGUAAGAAGCCCGGCUCGCUGGCGUGGAGCCAGGCGUGGAAUGCAAGUGCCUAGAGGGCCACUUUUGGUAAAUAGAACUGGCACUGAGGGAUAACCGAAAGCCGAGUUAAGGUGCCCAAUGCCAACACUCAUCAGACCACAGAAAAGGUGUUGGCUGAUACAGAGAGCAGGAGAGUGGCCAUGGAAGUUGGAAUCUGCUAUUUCCUUAAAAAACCAGCCUUGGAUUUUUAAGACCCAAAAAACCCAUUCAGAUUCUUAAAAAACAGAACUUUAUUAGAAAAACAAAAAAAGAUAAGAGAACAACUCUGUAAGGUCAGAAUGGAAGAUAAUCUU
rnacentral:ncRNA from 1 species